rnacentral:rRNA from 1 species
UAAAUGAACGCUGGCGGCGUGCCUAACACAUGCAAGUCGAACGCGAAAGCCCUGCUUGCAGGGUGAGUAGAGUGGCGAACGGGUGAGUAACGCGUGGGUAACCUACCCCCCAGUUGGGGAUAAUCCCGCGAAAGUGGGUCUAAUACCGGAUGACAUCGCCUCUCCUCGGAGGGGUGAUCAAAGAUGGCCUCUGGUACAAGCUAUCGCUGGGGGAGGGGCUCGCGUCCUAUUAGCUUGUUGGUGGGGUAACGGCCCACCAAGGCGACGAUGGGUAGCCGGCCUGAGAGGGUGUCCGGCCACACUGGAACUGAGACACGGUCCAGACUCCUACGGGAGGCAGCAGUGGGGAAUUUUUCGCAAUGGGCGAAAGCCUGACGAAGCGACGCCGCGUGGACGAUGAAGGCCUUCGGGUCGUAAAGUCCUGUCGGGUGGGAAGAAAAGUAUGAGCUCGAAUAAAGCUCAUGCUUGACGGUACCACCCAAGGAAGCCCCGGCCAACUCCGUGCCAGCAGCCGCGGUAAUACGGGGGGGGCAAGCGUUAUUCGGAAUCACUGGGCGUAAAGGGCGUCUAGGCGGUCGGGUAAGUCGUGGGUGAAAGCCCCCGGCUCAACCGGGGAAGUGCCUGCGAAACUAUCCGACUUGAGGUCGGGAGAGGAAAGUGGAAUUCCCAGUGUAGCGGUGAAAUGCGCAGAUAUUGGGAGGAACACCAGUGGCGAAGGCGGCUUUCUGGACCGACCCUGACGCUGAAGCGCGAAAGCUAGGGGAGCGAACGGGAUUAGAUACCCCGGUAGUCCUAGCCGUAAACGAUGGGCACUUGGUGUAGCAGGAUUUAAAACCUGCUGUGCCGAAGCUAACGCAUUAAGUGCCCCGCCUGGGGAGUACGGCCGCAAGGCUGAAACUCAAAGGAAUUGACGGGGGCCCGCACAAGCGGUGGAGCAUGUGGUUUAAUUCGAUGCAACGCGAAGAACCUUACCGGGGCUUGAAGUGUGGUUGACAGGAUGAGAAAUUAUCCCUUCUCU